GUGGGGAAUAUUGGACAAUGGGCGCAAGCCUGAUCCAGCCAUGCCGCGUGAGUGAUGAAGGCCUUAGGGUUGUAAAGCUCUUUCGUCAGGGAAGAUAAUGACGGUACCUGAAGAAGAAGCCCCGGCUAACUUCGUGCCAGCAGCCGCGGUAAUACGAAGGGGGCUAGCGUUGCUCGGAAUCACUGGGCGUAAAGCGCACGUAGGCGGCUUUCUAAGUCAGGGGUGAAAUCCUGGAGCUCAACUCCAGAACUGCCUUUGAUACUGGAGAGCUUGAGUUCGGGAGAGGUGAGUGGAACUGCGAGUGUAGAGGUGAAAUUCGUAGAUAUUCGCAAGAACACCAGUGGCGAAGGCGGCUCACUGGCCCGAUACUGACGCUGAGGUGCGAAAGCGUGGGGAGCAAACAGGAUUAGAUACCCCGGUAGUCC
rnacentral:rRNA from 1 species